CGAGGACAAAUUCGGGCACAACGAGUUCAUCGGGGAGACGAGGGUGGCUCUGAAGAAGCUGAAGGCCAACCAGAAGAAGAACUUCAACAUCUGCCUGGAAAGGGUCAUCCCGAUGAAGCGGACCGGCACGACCGGAUCCUCCCGCGGGAUGGCCCUGUACGAGGACGAGAUGGGCCAGGCCGGCGACGUGGAGGAGCGGGGGAAGAUUCUGGUGU
rnacentral:lncRNA from 1 species